CAAUAGCGUAUAUUAAAGUUGUUGCAGUUAAAAAGCUCGUAGUUGAAUUUCUGGCGGGCGCGCCGGUCUUCCAAGUGUUGUACUGGGCGCAGUCCGCCAUCCCUGUGGAGAGGGCUCGCAUUGAGUUGCGUGUCGGAUCUGCAUCAUUUACUGUGAAAAAAUUAGAGUGUUUAAAGCAGGCUGUCGCUUGAAUACAUUAGCAUGGAAUAAUAAGAUAGGACUUCGGUCUAUUUUGUUGGUUGCGAACCGAGGUAAUGAUUAAUAGGGAUAGUUGGGGGUAUUCAUAUUUAAUUGUCAGAGGUGAAAUUCUUGGAUUUAUGAAAGAUGAACAACUGCGAAAGCAUUUACCAAGGAUGUUUUCAUUAA
rnacentral:rRNA from 1 species